GCUUCCGUAGCGCAGUCGGCAGCGCGUCAGUCUCAUAAUGUGAAGGUUGUGAGUGCGAGCCUCCCCGGGAGCA
rnacentral:tRNA from 1 species